rnacentral:rRNA from 1 species
GAUGAACGCUGGCGGCGUGCCUAAUACAUGCAAGUCGAGCGAAUGGAUUAAGAGCUUGCUCUUAUGAAGUUAGCGGCGGACAGGUGAGUAACACGUGGGUAACCUGCCCAUAAGACUGGGAUAACUCCGGGAAACCGGGGCUAAUACCGGAUAACAUUUUGAACCGCAUGGUUCGAAAUUGAAAGGCGGCUUCGGCUGUCACUUAUGGAUGGACCCGCGUCGCAUUAGCUAGUUGGUGAGGUAACGGCUCACCAAGGCAACGAUGCGUAACCGACCUGAGAGGGUGAUCGGCCACACUGGGACUGAGACACGGCCCAGACUCCUACGGGAGGCAGCAGUAGGGAAUCUUCCGCAAUGGACGAAAGUCUGACGGAGCAACGCCGCGUGAGUGAUGAAGGCUUUCGGGUCGUAAAACUCUGUUGUUAGGGAAGAACAAGUGCUAGUUGAAUAAGCUGGCACCUUGACGGUACCUAACCAGAAAGCCACGGCUAACUACGUGCCAGCCGCCGCGGUAA